rnacentral:rRNA from 1 species
AUUGAACGCUGGCGGCGUGCUUAACACAUGCAAGUCGAUCGGUAACGCGGGGGCAACCCUGGCGACGAGAGGCGGACGGGUGAGGAACGCUUGGGAAUCUGCCUAUCAGCGGGGGACAACACGGGGAAACUCGUGCUAAUACCGCAUACGCUCUACGGAGGAAAGCCGGGGACCGCAAGGCCUGGCACUGAUAGAUGAGCCCAAGCCGGAUUAGCUAGUUGGUGAGGUAAAGGCUCACCAAGGCGACGAUCGUUAACUGGUCUGAGAGGAUGAUCAGUCACACUGGAACUGAGACACGGUCCAGACUCCUACGGGAGGCAGCAGUGGGGAAUAUUGGACAAUGGGCGAGGGCCUGAUCCAGCCAUGCCGCGUGUGUGAAGAAGGUCUUCGGGUUGUAAAGCACUUUAAGUUGGGAGGAAGGGCAGUAAGUUAAUACCUUGCUGUUUUGACGUUACCGACAGAAUAAGCACCGGCUAACUUCAUGCCAGCCGCCGCCGUAAAAC